GAGGGUAUAGCUCAGUGGUAGAGUAUAUGCCUAUCAUGCAGGAGGUCCUAGGUUCAAUCCCCAGUACCUCCA
rnacentral:tRNA from 1 species